CCGGCUUAGUCCUGAGGGCAUCCCCUACUGUGCCACCAAAGUGCAGUCCAUCACUUGGAUCCAGCGUGUGGCUGGCAGGGUGACCCACUAUGCGUCUCACCUCCGCCACGAGACGUCUGUGGACGUGACGCUUGGCUGCUACCAGCAGACUGAUGUCUCAGUGGUGUACGCCACUCUCCACAUGGGGCUGGACGG